GGGCGCAUAGCUCAGUUGGUUAGAGCACCAGCUCGACAAGCUGGGGGUCGUAGGUUCGAAUCCUACUGCGCCCACCA
rnacentral:tRNA from 1 species